CACGUAGGAGGCGAGCGUUGUCCGGAAUCAUUGGGCGUAAAGAGCGCGCAGGCGGCUUGGCAAGUCGGGUGUGAAAUCCCGGGGCUCAACCCCGUGACUGCAUCCGAUACUGUCAGGCUAGAGGUAGGUAGGGGAGAUCGGAAUUCCUGGUGUAGCGGUGAAAUGCGCAGAUAUCAGGAGGAACACCGGUGGCGAAGGCGGCUACCUGGACAGAAACUGACGCUGAGGCGCGAAAGCUAGGGGAGCAAACAGG
rnacentral:rRNA from 1 species